rnacentral:rRNA from 1 species
UUAAGCGACUAAGCGUACACGGUGGAUGCCCUGGCAGUCAGAGGCGAUGAAGGACGUGCUAAUCUGCGAUAAGCGUCGGUAAGGUGAUAUGAACCGUUAUAACCGGCGAUUUCCGAAUGGGGAAACCCAGUGUGAUUCGUCACACUAUCAUUAACUGAAUCCAUAGGUUAAUGAGGCGAACCGGGGGAACUGAAACAUCUAAGUACCCCGAGGAAAAGAAAUCAACCGAGAUUCCCCCAGUAGCGGCGAGCGAACGGGGAGCAGCCCAGAGCCUGAAUCAGUGUGUGUGUUAGUGGAAGCGUCUGGAAAGGCGCGCGAUACAGGGUGACAGCCCCGUACACAAAAAUGCACAUGCUGUGAGCUCGAUGAGUAGGGCGGGACACGUGGUAUCCUGUCUGAAUAUGGGGGGACCAUCCUCCAAGGCUAAAUACUCCUGACUGACCGAUAGUGAACCAGUACCGUGAGGGAAAGGCGAAAAGAACCCCGGCGAGGGGAGUGAAAAAGAACCUGAAACCGUGUACGUACAAGCAGUGGGAGCCUCUUUAUGGGGUGACUGCGUACCUUUUGUAUAAUGGGUCAGCGACUUAUAUUCUGUAGCAAGGUUAACCGAAUAGGGGAGCCGAAGGGAAACCGAGUCUUAACUGGGCGUUAAGUUGCAGGGUAUAGACCCGAAACCCGGUGAUCUAGCCAUGGGCAGGUUGAAGGUUGGGUAACACUAACUGGAGGACCGAACCGACUAAUGUUGAAAAAUUAGCGGAUGACUUGUGGCUGGGGGUGAAAGGCCAAUCAAACCGGGAGAUAGCUGGUUCUCCCCGAAAGCUAUUUAGGUAGCGCCUCGUGAAUUCAUCUCCGGGGGUAGAGCACUGUUUCGGCAAGGGGGUCAUCCCGACUUACCAACCCGAUGCAAACUGCGAAUACCGGAGAAUGUUAUCACGGGAGACACACGGCGGGUGCUAACGUCCGUCGUGAAGAGGGAAACAACCCAGACCGCCAGCUAAGGUCCCAAAGUCAUGGUUAAGUGGGAAACGAUGUGGGAAGGCCCAGACAGCCAGGAUGUUGGCUUAGAAGCAGCCAUCAUUUAAAGAAAGCGUAAUAGCUCACUGGUCGAGUCGGCCUGCGCGGAAGAUGUAACGGGGCUAAACCAUGCACCGAAGCUGCGGCAGCGACGCUUAUGCGUUGUUGGGUAGGGGAGCGUUCUGUAAGCCUGUGAAGGUGUGCUGUGAGGCAUGCUGGAGGUAUCAGAAGUGCGAAUGCUGACAUAAGUAACGAUAAAGCGGGUGAAAAGCCCGCUCGCCGGAAGACCAAGGGUUCCUGUCCAACGUUAAUCGGGGCAGGGUGAGUCGACCCCUAAGGCGAGGCCGAAAGGCGUAGUCGAUGGGAAACAGGUUAAUAUUCCUGUACUUGGUGUUACUGCGAAGGGGGGACGGAGAAGGCUAUGUUGGCCGGGCGACGGUUGUCCCGGUUUAAGCGUGUAGGCUGGUUUUCCAGGCAAAUCCGGAAAAUCAAGGCUGAGGCGUGAUGACGAGGCACUACGGUGCUGAAGCAACAAAUGCCCUGCUUCCAGGAAAAGCCUCUAAGCAUCAGGUAACAUCAAAUCGUACCCCAAACCGACACAGGUGGUCAGGUAGAGAAUACCAAGGCGCUUGAGAGAACUCGGGUGAAGGAACUAGGCAAAAUGGUGCCGUAACUUCGGGAGAAGGCACGCUGAUAUGUAGGUGAAGUCCCUCGCGGAUGGAGCUGAAAUCAGUCGAAGAUACCAGCUGGCUGCAACUGUUUAUUAAAAACACAGCACUGUGCAAACACGAAAGUGGACGUAUACGGUGUGACGCCUGCCCGGUGCCGGAAGGUUAAUUGAUGGGGUCAGCGCAAGCGAAGCUCUUGAUCGAAGCCCCGGUAAACGGCGGCCGUAACUAUAACGGUCCUAAGGUAGCGAAAUUCCUUGUCGGGUAAGUUCCGACCUGCACGAAUGGCGUAAUGAUGGCCAGGCUGUCUCCACCCGAGACUCAGUGAAAUUGAACUCGCUGUGAAGAUGCAGUGUACCCGCGGCAAGACGGAAAGACCCCGUGAACCUUUACUAUAGCUUGACACUGAACAUUGAGCCUUGAUGUGUAGGAUAGGUGGGAGGCUUAGAAGUGUGGACGCCAGUCUGCAUGGAGCCGACCUUGAAAUACCACCCUUUAAUGUUUGAUGUUCUAACGUUGACCCGUAAUCCGGGUUGCGGACAGUGUCUGGUGGGUAGUUUGACUGGGGCGGUCUCCUCCUAAAGAGUAACGGAGGAGCACGAAGGUUGGCUAAUCCUGGUCGGACAUCAGGAGGUUAGUGCAAUGGCAUAAGCCAGCUUGACUGCGAGCGUGACGGCGCGAGCAGGUGCGAAAGCAGGUCAUAGUGAUCCGGUGGUUCUGAAUGGAAGGGCCAUCGCUCAACGGAUAAAAGGUACUCCGGGGAUAACAGGCUGAUACCGCCCAAGAGUUCAUAUCGACGGCGGUGUUUGGCACCUCGAUGUCGGCUCAUCACAUCCUGGGGCUGAAGUAGGUCCCAAGGGUAUGGCUGUUCGCCAUUUAAAGUGGUACGCGAGCUGGGUUUAGAACGUCGUGAGACAGUUCGGUCCCUAUCUGCCGUGGGCGCUGGAGAACUGAGGGGGGCUGCUCCUAGUACGAGAGGACCGGAGUGGACGCAUCACUGGUGUUCGGGUUGUCAUGCCAAUGGCACUGCCCGGUAGCUAAAUGCGGAAGAGAUAAGUGCUGAAAGCAUCUAAGCACGAAACUUGCCCCGAGAUGAGUUCUCCCUGACUCCUUGAGAGUCCUGAAGGAACGUUGAAGACGACGACGUUGAUAGGCCGGGUGUGUAAGCGCAGCGAUGCGUUGAGCUAACCGGUACUAAUGAACCGUGAGGCUUAACCUU